UGGAGGCCAAGACUAACCUGUGCAGCAUC
rnacentral:piRNA from 1 species